UACGUAGGGUGCGAGCGUUGUCCGGAAUUAUUGGGCGUAAAGAGCUUGUAGGCGGUUUGUCGCGUCUGCCGUGAAAAUCCGGGGCUCAACCCCGGACUUGCGGUGGGUACGGGCAGACUAGAGUGUGGUAGGGGGGACUGGAAUUCCUGGUGUAGCGGUGAAAUGCGCAGAUAUCAGGAGGAACACCGGUGGCGAAGGCGGGAUCCUGGGCCAGUACUGACGCUGAGGAGCGAAAGCUAGGGGAGCAAACGGGG
rnacentral:rRNA from 1 species